rnacentral:lncRNA from 1 species
AGAAAACAGGAUCUCUCUCAUUUUGAAUAGAUAUCGGGACCCCCCUCCUCGAUUCCCAUUUCAGAGCAGACCCUUGUUCAAAGGGGGCAAAAGGGAGAAGGUUUGAAAAGAGGUGAUACCCUCCCUGCACACCCCAAUUCAUCUCACUUUUUGUUUGGAUCUGAAAACUUAUUUGGAAAAAGGAUUUCAACUGAUCAUUCAACAUUUUCUCAUCUCCUGGGAUUCCAACUCUCAUUGCCGAAGCUCUGUUCAUUGAUUAAUUGAUUCCUCCUUCCAAUUUCAGAGAUCUAUUUUCUACUUUGUUUGUUCUGCUAUAAUCAGGUACUGCUUCUUGCUUGAAUAAUGUAAACGCAAUGUUCAGUUGAAUGAGGAUUAUGUGACCAAGUUAAAGGAAACACAAAUGCGGACACUUUUCUUUUCAUCGUAAUUUUAAUGCCUUAUUUAUUUAUCUUUGCCUUUUGACUUUAUAAAACAUGAGCCUGAAUUUGGAUAGUUUAUUCUCAUUGCUCCUUUUAAUUAUUAAUUUCUAUACUGUUUAGUUGGAUUCGUCACCUAGAUAAAUUUAACGGCUAAUUAGAAAUUUUGAUUGAUGUUGCAAAGCUUCAAUAACAAUAAGCAGGAUGCCAAAUUGAGUUUUAAUAUACUAUGGGAAGUCCUCGUUGUUGGUUGAUGAGUCUACGUGGUGGCAUGUUUUAGUUUCUGAUUGAAACUUCCAAUUUUGCUAAGGUUCAAAUUAUUAGAUAUCAAGAUAAUUUCAAGCUAUAUGAUGUUAGUAAUUUGUUAAAUUAUAAAUAGUUUUAAGGUUGAAUAACUCAUUAGAACAGGUAGCAAAAAUCUUACACCCUUCCACGGUAAUUUCCAUAGCCUAUGGCCUUACAAUAAUCUUAAAUUAGAUUAGGAAAUAAAUCAAAGGCGUAGUUACUUUAGGCGCGUAAUUUAAAUUACUUUCCUAAAUCCGGGUGUGCAUUUAUGUGACCCAAAUUCAAAUUUCAACAACGUUAGAUAAAAUGUGUCGUGGACCACGGGUGCAUUUAUGUGACGCGGUUCAAGACGCGUUUUAGAUGACGUUGAAUCUUUCUUAAAAAAUAAUUAAAUAAAAGCGGUUAUAAAGUUAAAAUUGCAUCAUAGGUUUCAAAAAUGUUUUAAAAUCAAAUAAAUAGGCAAAUAAUAACAGUUGAGCGACCGUGCUAAAACCACGGAACCCGGAAAUGCCUAACACCUUCUCCCGGGUUAACAAAAUUCCUUACCCGGAUUUCUGUGUUCGCGGACUGUAAAACAGAGUCAAUCUUUCCUCAAUUAUCCCAAGUGGCGACUCUGAAAUUUUAAAUAAAAAUAAUCCCAAGCUGCCUGCGGUGCUUUUGUGCGGGCAUUGGUUGGCAGAUUAAGUUUAUAGCUAAGUUUUUCUCUCCAGGGCAUAUGGCGACUUUGAGAGAUGAGAUUUUGGCCUUCAAACCGGAACCUAAUGAACCACUUCAUGAGAUCUGGGAGAGAUAUCGGACAAUGGUGAAAGAAUGUACGAACAAUGACCUGACCGAAGCAAUGAUUCAGCGGACAUUCUACCAUGGCAUUAACACGACCAAUCAGUGAGUAGUGAACCAGCUAGCAGGUGGAAAUUUUAUGAACACACCUUAUGCUGAGGUGUGUGAGAUAUUGGAUGAGAUGGCAGAUACUUCCUCAACUUGGCAAAGUCAAGCCAAUGUGCCACAGGGUGACCCCACUGUCAUCCACUUGCACAAAGAGCUCCAUGAUCAUGGCCAGACAAUAGCAAAGUUAGCUACAACAAUGAACCAGUUGGCAAAAGCUCAAUUGCAACAAGUUCAAUCUCCUAGACAAGUAAAUGCUAUGGAAGGUGUCAACAUGUUGGUCAACAAGAGGCGACAAAGAGGUCAACAAGGUCAAGGUAGUCCGGAUCAAUAUGAGCAAGGCAGUGGUGAUUUCAAUCAAGAUGAUAGCUACAAUGAGAAAAGUAAAGAAGUGCAGUACGUGAACAAUUACCAAGGACAAAUGGGCAAUGCUCCUAACCCACAACAACAGUAGAGAUCCCAAGGAAAUUGGGGGAAUCAAAAUCAACAAGGCAAUAACAACUGGAGGGACAACAAUCAGAAUUGGGGCAACCAGAACAACUAGGGCAACUAGAAUGGCAACAACAAACCAAGGCGGUUGGAAUAAUGACAAUCAACGGAAUUGGGGGCGAGGCUUUCACAGGCCUCUGAUGUACCAACAACCAAACAACCCACCUCCAUUUCCAUCCCAAUAUCCUAGCUCGACAAACAAUGAGAUGGGAAAGAUCGCCGUGAAGAAGAACACCAACUUUGAUGUCCAGUUGGCAUCCCACAAUACUUCAAUUCGAAAUUUGGAGGUUCAACUUGGCCAGAUUUUGCAAUCUUUGAAUACUCGCCCUAAGGGGGCUCUACCUAGUGAUACGGUAGAAAACCCGAAGGGUAGGAACAACAUCGGGCAUGCAAUGGUGGUGAUUACAAGAAGCGGUCGAGGUGGUGAUAUGAAUGCCUCCAAGCAAAGGGAAGUUGUGAGUGAUGAGGUUGAAAUGCAAUAUGAUGGUGUUCCUAUAGUUGAUGAGCAAGUGAGUGAAGAGAAUUUGAAUGCGGAAGCGAGAAUUAAUAUUCAUGAUAAUGAGGUGGAGACUCAAGAUGACGUGAACCCGUCUAGGGAACACAUAAUAGAUAUACCGAAAAUGAUAGUGCCCAAGGCUAAGGCUCCUUUGCCAAGGCCUCCUCCACCUUACCCUCAAAGGCUUGCAAAGAAAAAGAUUGAAAACCAAUUUAAGAAGUUUAUUGAGAUGAUGAAAAGUUUGUCAAUCAAUGUUCCUUUGGGGGAAGCUCUUGAACAAAUUCCGGGUUACGCCAAGUUCAUGAAAGACUUGGUGACUAAAAAGAGAUCCAUGGAUUGUGAGACCAUCAAAAUGACUCAUUAAGUAAAUGCACUUGUGCACUCGAUGGCUCCAAAGCUUGAAGAUCCCGACGCUUUCACCAUUCCAUGUACCUUUGGGAGUGCAGAUUUUGCAAAGGCAUUGUGUGAUUUGGGAGCAAGUAUCAAUUUGAUGCCUUACUCCGUGUUCAAAACCUUGGGUAUUGGUCAACCGAGAGCUACUUCAAUGAGAUUGCGAAUGGCGAAUAGAACAAUGUAGAGGCCGCUUGGUAUUAUUGAUGAUGUUCUUGUUCGGGUGGACAAUUUUAUUUUGCCUGCUGACUUUGUGAUUUUGGACUGCGAGGUCGACUAUGAGGUUUCGAUAAUAUUGGAAAGACAUUUCCUUGCAAGUGGGAAGACAUUGGUUGACGUGGAAGCAGGGGAGCUCACCUUCCGGGUGGGUGAUGAACAAGUGGUCUUUCAUGUGUGCAAAUCAAUGAAGCAGCCGAAUAGUACUGAAGUGUGCUCUUUUGUGGAUCUUGUCAUAGAGGUGAUAGUUGAUGAUACUAGUGCAAUGAUCAAUGUGGAGGAUCCUCUAGAAGCUGUGUUGUUGAACCUUGACGUAAAUGAGGAUGAAGGUCUAGUGGAGUGUGUCAAUGCUUUGCAUGGAAUGGGCUCUUACUCUUAUGAGCCUCGAAAUCUCUCUUUGGAUCUUGAGAACAGAAAGACUCCACCAACAAAGCCCUCAAUUGAGGAACCCCCCAUUUUGGAGUUGAAGCCUUUGCCCUCACAUCUCAGGUAUGAAUUCUUAGGCCCUAGUUCAACUUUACCUGUUAUUCUUUCAUCUUGUCUUACUAACGUGCAGGUAGAUGUAACACUGGAGGUGCUCCAAAGAAGAAAGAAGGCAAUUGGAUGGACUCUAGCUAAUAUUCGGGGAAUAAGCCCGCCUUUUGCAUGCACGAGAUUAUACUUGAAGAUAAUGCCAAACCCUCCGUUGAACAUCAAAAGAGGUUGAGCGAGGCUAUGCAAAAGGUUGUCAAAAAGGAGGUGAUCAAGUGGUUAGAUGCAGGGGUUGUGUACCCCAUCUCGAAGAGUUCUUGGGCUUUACUGGUGCAAUGUGCGCCAAAGAAGGGUGGUAUAACUAUGGUUACCCAUGAGCAAAAUGAGUUAAUUAACACCAGGACUGUCACCAGAUGGUGGGUGUGCAUGGACUACCGCAAGCUGAAUAAAGUGACCCGCAAGGAUCACCUUCCAUUACCCUUUCUUAACCAGAUGCUAUAUAGACUUGCUGGGCGUGCCUUCUAUUGUUUCUUGGAUGGGUACUCAGGUUACAACUAGAUUUUGAUUGGUCCGGAAGAUCAGGAGAAAACCACCUUCACGUAUCCAUAUGUCACCUUUGCAUUUUCUAGGAUGCCAUUUGGUUUGUGUAAUGUACCGGCUACAUUCCAGUGGUGUAUGAUGGCUAUAUUUAUCGACAUGGUGGAGGACUUCUUGGAAGUGUUCAUGGAUGACUUCAGUGUUGUGGGUGACUCUUUUGAUGAAUGUAUGAAGAAUCUUGACAAAGUGUUGGCCCGGUGUGAAAAGACAAAUCUUGUGCUCAAUUGGGAAAAAUGCCACUUUAUGGUCGAGGAGGGCAUUGUCCUCGGCCAUAAGAUCUCAAAGCACGGUAUAGAGGUGGACAGGGCUAAAAUUGAAGUGAUCUCAAAGCUUCCUCCUCCAACAUCAGUCAAGGGGGUGAGGAGUUUUCUUGGGCAUGCGGGGUUCUACCAAAGAUUAAUCAAAGACUUUUCUAAGGUAGUGAAUCCUUUGUGCAAAUUAUUGGAAAAGGAUGCCAAGUUCGUAUUUAAUGAGGAAUGCAUGAAAGCUUUUGAAUUUCUAAAGUACAAAUUGACAACCACUUCCAUUAUUACCGCACCCAAUUGGAGCUUACCUUUUGAGCUUAUGUGUGACGCAAGCGAUGUUGCGGUAGGAGCGAUCUUGGGUCAAAGAGUGAUUAAGAUGUUUCACCCGGUGUAUUAUGCAAGCAAAACAAUGAAUGAUGCUCAACUGAAUUACACGGUGAUGGAAAAAGAUUUGUUAGCAAUUGUGUUUGCAAUGGAGAAGUUUAGGCCUUAUCUCAUGGGUGCCAAGGUGAUAGUUCAUACUGACCAUGCAACACUCCGCUACUUGAUGACAAAGAAGGAUUCUAAGGCUCGGUUGAUGAGAUGAGUUAUAUUGCUUCAAGAGUUUAACCUUGAGAUUGUUGAUCGGAAAGGGAGUGAAAACCAAGUGGAGAACCACUUAUCCCGCUUGGAGGAGGAGGGGAGGCCCCGUGAUGGCCUCGAAAUUAAUGAUUCAUUCCCUGAUGAGCAAUUCCUCUCUGUAUCUGUGAAUAACAUGCCUUGGUUCGCGGAUGUUGACAACUUUCUUGUGACUGGUAUUGUUCCGUGUGAUCUAUCUUCUAACCAAAGGAAGAAGCUUAAGCGGGUUAGUUUGGACUUCUACUGGGAUAAGCCUUACUUGUUCAAAAUCUGUAAUGAUGGUGUGAUCUGGAGAUGUGUUCCGGAAGAGGAGCAAAUGAGUAUUCUGGAUGCUUGUCAUUCCUCUCCCUACGGUGGUCAUCAUGGUGGGGCGAGGAUAGCUUCAAGGGUGCUUAGUUGGGGUUUUUAUUGGCCUACAUUGUACAAGGAUGCGGGUGAGCUUGUGAAGAGAUGUGAUGAGUGUCAGAUAGCAGGUGGAAUUUCAAAUAAGGAUGAGAUGGCUCUCCCCACUAUUCUUGAGGUUGACAUUUUUGAUGUGUGGGGCAUUGAUUUCAAGGGACCUUUCGUGAGUUCAUGUGUCAACACAUAUAUUCUAGUGACCAUUGAUUAUGUUUCCAAAUAGGUUGAGGUUCGUGGCUUUACCCAACAACAAGGCCCGGAGUGUGGUGUCUUUUCUCAAGAAGAAUAUCUUUACUCGGUUUGGCACUCCUAGAGCAAUCAUUAGUGAUGGGGGUUCUCAUUUCUGCAGUAAGGCAUUUGACACUUUGCUUACAAAGUACAGUGUCAAUUACAAGGUUUCAACCCCUUACCAUCCUCAGGCUAGUGGGCAAGUUGAGGUCUCCAACAGGGAGAUCAAGAGCAUAUUGUCAAAGACGGUUAUUGCAAAUAGGACUGACUGGUCAAAGAAACUGGAUGAUGCUUUGUGGGCUUACAGGACUGCUUACACAACUCUGAUUGGUAUGUCUCCGUAGCGAUUGGUGCUUGGGAAAGCUUAACAUAUCCUAGUUGAGUUAGAGCACAAGGCCAUGCGGGCCUUGAGAAAGUUGAAUCUUGAAUGGGAUGUUGCAGCAAAUCUCUAGGUGGAGCAACUCAAUGAGCUUGAUGAGUUCCAGUUUCAUGGCUAUUCCAGCUCAUCCUUGUAUAAGGACAAGAUGAAGUACUUACAUGACAAGUAUGCCCGUAGCAAGGAAUUCAAAGAGGGUGACUUGGUUCUUUUAUUCAACUCCCGGUUACAACUAUUUCCGGGAAAGCUUAAGUCAAAAUGGAGUGGACCUUUUGAGGUAGUACUUGUGACUCCGUUUGGUGCUCUUGAUUUGAAAAACAAAAAUGGUGAAAUCUUCAGAGUUAAUGGGCACAAAGUGAAUCACUAUCUUGGCAAAUUUGAUGACAGCCACGUGGUGGCAACGAUCCAUCUCAAAUGAUUUAUGGUAACAUGUGUCGUGUCGCGAUGUUAAAUCAGGCGCUUCUUGGGAGGCAACCCAUGUGUUUUUCUUCCUUUUGAUUUUCUUAUUAGUUUAGGAUUUGUUUUUGAACUAACUGUUUGUGAGAUGUGUGUAGGGAUGUUUGAUGCAGUGCAGGACUAAGCUGGAAAAAUUUGGCACUCUCUGAAGUUGGACCACUGAUAGCGCUUCAUUUUUCGCAGUUAGUGAUGGCCUUAUCGCAGAGGCGGAAUUUGAUGGCGGAUGCGAGAUUGAAAAGUCCAACAUGACACCUCUCUGAAGUUUCAACCGCGUCUGAGGUGCUUUUAUUAUGGUCAGCAAUGCCGUACCGCAGUCGCGAUCGAUUUUUUGCUCUCCACGGUCAAUUUAAUUAUGCAUCCCUUCUGUACUUCACUAGUGCGGACCGCGGUGAUUUACCGCGGCUGCGAUAGGUAAGUUCUAGUAGGUCCCUGGAUGUUUUGUAUAAAUAGGACCUCAGAGAACCUUUUACCCUUUUUGCUCAAUUGACUCUCACACUAGAAUUUUAACUGUUCAUCCACACCACAAUCUGCACAAACACAAGAACUAGACUUCAUUUUUCACCACUCAUUUCACAUUUGGUAAUUCCACUCAUUCCUUAGUCUUUAAUUUUGUACUUAUUUACUUUUAAUUGAUAGUUUUUACUUCUUCUUCUUCUUCUUCUUCUUCUUUUUUCUUUUAAUUUUGACUUAGGGUUCCUUUAUAUUGACUAGAUUAGGCUUAAAAUAGUUAGAACUGGUUACUGAACACCUAGUGGGAUUUAUAAUGUUGAUGAUAUUGCUAAAAUGCAUGAAAAUUAGAAACCCUAGGUUUGUUGAGCCCUAUUUUGACUUUUGCAGACGCGAUUGAUUUUUCACGGUCCGCGUUCAUAAGUUUCAUAUGAGAAUUUGAAGUCCUGAUAACCGCGGUCAGCGGUGGAAAAUUCUGCUGAUAGUGGUGCCUCUUCGCGGCCGCGAUUAAUUUUCCUCGGUCCGCAGUGCUCAAGUUCAGAGAGGUACAAAUAAGAGUCCGCGGUCGCGGUCAAUUUUCCACGGACAGCUGUGCAACCACCGUCGCCGCACUCAACUUACCUCGCUUAGUGGUGCAAUAUAAUUAGAGGGUGGGUAGUCUGAUCCCCAUACCUCCACGGCCGCGAUGCAUUUUCCGCGGUCCGCGGUGUAGCCUCCCUGGUCGCACUCCUUUCUCUGCGGUCUGCAAAUUUUCCAUGCACUGUAAAUUGUUCUACUGUUUUUUUUUUCACUACUUAUUCUAGCAACUAACAAUGUGCCACUGAUUAUGUUUGUAGACAAUGGUUAAAUCUAGAGGCGGCGGUGAGAAAUAAAAGGGUAUAGUAGAGUCCUCCCGGGAUAAGGGACGGGGACAAAUAAAGUUGACCCCAGCAAUUCGGAAAUCAAUUGGGGAAAUGAGGAAGACCAUCAUAGCUAUAGACAGAGCUGCUUCCCACUCAGAGGGGAGUGAUCAUGUGCCCUCCUAGGAGGCCUCAAAGACUAACUCAGUGCCUGCACAUGUUCUAGACUUCCCGAGAAGAUUCCGUUUGAGAGAUGAGCCUAAACCUCCAGCUUUUCCCACUUCUUCGGCUUCUUUUGAGUCGUCUGAUGGCUCAGUGGAGAGUGGUGAGUCCUCAGCUUCAGCCUCACCGAUAGCUUCGUCACCGGCACAAGACCCCAUAGUUUAGAUGCUGAGGUACUGGAUGACGAGAGAGGGGGUGCCACCCAGACCAGAGGUGUAGAAAGAACAAGAAACCCAGAGGUUUGGCAACAGAGAUUUGUCAGUGAGCUGGCAUACCAUAAAUUUAGGGAAUGGUGGCCUUAGAAGUCCCUAAGUCAUGAGCGUCAAUUCAUAGAGCGGGAUCUUCUGCCAAAGAACCCUAAUGUGAAGAAGCACUUUAAUGAAUGGGUAGGAUUGGAGUACAUCACUAGCAAGGUGUCGGAGGCUAAUAAGCACCUAGUAAAGGAAUUCUACGACAAUGCCUCCCACAUCAAGAAUGAUACUAAAGUGACUAAGGUGCAGAACCUAAACGUCAAGUUUGAUGGGAAAGCAAUUAAUGAUUACCUGGGCUUCAGUGAUGAAGAUGAGACAUAGUACUUAGAGAAGGUGGCGAUGGAUGAGGUAGCCCGCCCGUGGUUGGCAUCACUUCUGGCUCUCCUAUAUACCAUCCAGUAUGGUUGAUAGUAGGGGUUCCUCUCUUGAGGAACACCCUGAACUUUGAGGCAAAGGUUGGGAGACAUUUGUGUGCAGAAGCGUAGACUCCACUACUCACGACAACACCUUGUCGGUCUCCCGGGCGAUUAUAGUGGCGGCUAUCAUGGCGGGGUUCCCAAUCAAUGUCGGGAAUAUCAUGUCUAGGGUGAUCACUAGAGUGGUUAACGAGGGUGAUAGAUCCUACCCCUUCCCGAACUUCCUCACCAUGUACCUGGAGGAUCAAAAGGUGGAGAAAAGAAAUUUCGAUGUCAAGGUAAGGCCCAAGAUGCCCUUUUCAUGCUACAACCUUAAGGGUCCAGGCAACCCCAAAUCUAAGGGAUCCAAGGGCAAAGCUACUACAUCUACUAGCUAGUCUGAAGAGCCAGUAGUGGUAGUCACUACUUCACAGCCUCCCACUGCCAUACGGGAUCUUGCCUCAUUACCAUCUACUUCCAUGCCAUCCUCAGUUCCAUCCUCCCCAGCAUACCCAUUGACUGCUCAUAGGUCGAGCCAAACACUCUCCAAUAUCAACAACUGGAUGCAGGCGACAACUUCUAAGAUGUAUGUGCUAUCUAGUUCAAUAGCAGCCCAGUCAGUUCUUACACAGCUACAGGUCCCAGCUUCAGUAGAAGAGUCUCUCAAGGAGCUUCUGGACAACCAGAAAAAGCUCCUGGAGAACCAAGCAGACAAAGAAACUGAAAAAGACUCGGGCCUCGAAAGAGUCUGUGAAGGAAUUGAGGGGGGAGAUGGAGAAGAUGAAGGCAUCAGACCACUUACCAUUAGAGCUACUAUUACAUGACUAGCCUCUAGCGGCUUAGACAGAGCAUGUUCAGGAGUAGGAGAUUGAGAGAGAGCCCAAGAGGAGGAGAGUGAUGCCCCGGGUUGAUGAUGUAGAGAUUGAGUUGGCAGAGACUGAGGGAGGUGCCUCGGCCAGCCACAGGCCCCUGAUCCAGGUGAUCCUGGGACCUAGCCACAGGACCCUAUGCAACCACAGGACCCAAUGCAGACAGAGGACCCAUAGGGAGUUUCCUUUACUCUUUACCCUUCUUUUUGAUCUUUUUUUUAGUUAGUUAGCAUUGAGGACAACACUAGUUUUCAUUUGAGGGGGUGGUCCUACUUUGAUGAUUUGGUAGUUGGUUUAUAAUUAUGAUACUAUUUUCUUUCUUUAUGCUUAUUUUUCACUUUUGGUAUGUAUAUAACUUAACAUUUAUUUCACUUUUCGUUAUUUUUCAAUCUUGGUCUGUAUAUGAAGUUACUCUCUCAUGUAUAUAUUCAUUCUCUCUUAUGUAUAUUCAUCUAAAUCCCCUAUUGUACAUAUUUAGUUUACUUUCCACAUUUUACUUUAUAACUUCUUUUGCAAUUUUUCUUAAUAGUAUAGCUUAUUUUAUUUAAUAGCUUCUUUUUCGGUUUGUAGCUUCUUGUUUUACAAGUUGCAAUGAUCAAUAAGCCUUUGGUUUUCUUAAUGCCACAGUUUUUUCCAAAGGUAGAGUUUGUGUGAACCGGGAUGGCUCUUCCUGAUAAUGGAUGGCAUGACAACCUUCUUAAGAGUUUGAGUCUGUUUUUCUUUUUAUUUUUGUGUAAAUAGUAGUUAGUGAGAAAUGGUGCCUCAAGCAAAGCUUCACUUAGGCCUAACACAUUUAUCUAUGACCUUAUGGUGAAAAACAAAUUGGUGUGUACAUGAUGGUGAUAGUUGUGACCUUGAGACUCUUGUGUUGACUAAACAAUCAUCGAGUGGCUUCUCAGAACCAUUUGUGUUGCUCAAAUCUUAGCUAAGGUUGUUGUGGGUCCCCGACUCUGUUUCUUUACCAAUCCUAUAGCUUGUGUGGUGAGGUAUUGAUUUGCAAGUCCAAGUCCCAUGCCAAUGAGUCUAUAACUUGCCCUGAAUAUUUUCCUAGGUGAAAUCCUAAGUGAAGUUCGACUUGAGAAGUGAUUAUAGGCUCUCCUUGAUCCUAAUUGAGAUUUGAAAACACACAUAUUCCACCAAUGAUGACAUCACUAGUCAACCCCGUUGAGCCAUAGCCCUUAUUCUUUCAAAAACCAUGAUACAAGCCUUUAUCCGUUCUAAAAUGAUCCUCUCUUAGCACCCAAUCUUUACUUAGCACAAGGCAAAAGCAUAAAUUUGGGAGGAGAGGCGAGGAAUGUAAAAGCGAUAAAAGAUACAAAAUAAAGAAAAGGAAAGGGCAAAAAGAAAAAGAAAGAAAAGCGAAAAAGUCAAAAAUAAAGUGAACAAUGUAGAAUAAAUGAAGGGAUUCAAUAAAAGCAAAAGAUGAAAGGCAUGGAAAGAAUUAGAAAGGAGAAAAAAGAUUGAAAUGAACAAGAAAGAGUGACAGUGUGACGCUCUAGCCCCUAGAGAUAAAGUAAAUGACUCAAAGAGUCAAGAAAAUGUAUGCCAAAAUGAAGCAAAUAAAGUGCUUAAGGGAAGAUGAAACCUUCUUAGACCAAUAUAUUCUACCCUGAACUAAAAGCCUUCAUUACAUCCCCACAAAAUCCCUAUAUGAUCUUGAGUUGGGUGAGCUUACAUUAGUGGUGACUCAUAUAAGGGGCAAGCUUAUGGUACUUAGAGCUGGACUUUUGACCUUCCUUUGAAAGAGAUGAGUGUGUUUUCAACAAUCCUCGUUCUGAGUGAUACAAUCUAAAAGUGAGGUUUGCUUAUAGAGAGUUGAGGAGUAUGAGUUUAGGUUCCACAAUGACCAAUGUAACAAAAAGAGUUUCCUUGAAGAGUUUCCACAGCUUAUGUGUUGCACUAUAGCCAUGGUGCUAAAAAGGUUGUGUAUUAUUAUUAAUGUAUUUGAGUUGAGGGUAAUUGUUAGUCUCAAUUGAUUCUUGAUGAGGUUACUUUAGGACAGCUGAAAUUUUCCUGUCUUUUAUCUUGAGGAGGUGGGAAUUACAUUGUUUGCUUGAGGACAAGCAAAAGCUUAAGUUUGUGGGAGUUGAUAAUUAGGGAUUCUAGUCUAUUUUAUGCUUUUUUUUGCUUAAGUUUUGGAUUAAAAAUGUGUACAGUGUAUUCCCAAAAGUUAACAUGUUGUGCUUGUUUGCAGUGUUUGGUCAAAAAGAGACAAGAAAGUCAAAACCGGCUCAAAAAGGAGUGAAACCUCCACAAGUACAAAGCUGAGUCAAAAGGAGCGUUGACAGCGGAAAAUCGGACGCGUUCACUGAGGAUCCACCGCUGAGGUGGUCUUGCUUCCUCGCUCAGUGGUGGCAAAGUUCAGAGAGUGUGUUUUAGGGCUUUCAAGUUACCGCUGCCCGCGGUGCUUUU